rnacentral:rRNA from 1 species
AAUCCCGUGAACCAUCGAGUCUUUGAAUGCAAGUUAUGCUCGAAGCCAUUAGGCCAAGGGCACGUCUGCCUGGGCGUCACGCAUCGCAUCGCCCCCAACCCCCCAUUCGAAUGAGCAACCGGGGAAGGGGGCGGACAAUGGCCUCCCAUAAGCCUCACGGUGCGCGGCUGGUGC